CGGUGAAUGAGACUGGGACUUGUGUGCCUGCUGGAAGAACUGGUUGGAUGAGUCUGGAUUUUAAUGGCAUGGAGGACUUCAUUAGUUUCGUCCACCAGAAUAUAAAUGUGUGCCUAGCAUAACGUGUAGGAGUUCUUGUUGUAAACUGCGCGGCAAGGAUAACUUGAGUAUCGUUUUCCUAUCCCUGGCCUGACGUCAGUGCUGCAGAAUUCUAACCCAGUUACCCACGCCUGCAAAAAAGGGGAGGAGAAAAUGUGCAGCAAUAUGGUAAUUCGUGACUUCAACUGGUAGAUAAGUGACUGCAGGACAGGAAGAGUACGAAAUGUUUACGAAAAUAGUUGAUGGUUUUGUCAGAUAUUCGGUAGAUGCACUAAAAACUGCCUACUUUAAUUUAGAGGGCAAAGAUGUAGCGAAGAAGGAAAUACAAGAGCAACUUUAUAGGUUAUUAUAGUGGAGAUAUGAGGAGAGGUGAAUCAGAAUUCAUUAUAACGUAGAAUUCUGUGAAUCACUAUUCAUAUGACGACAGUGACGUUACGGGCUACUGAGAAUUUCAAUAUAAUUCUUUGUGUCGGCAUGAAUCAAUGUCACAUUAGACAGUCAGGAGACAAUUUUGACUAGAAACGUAAAUUUAUUUAAACCAUGGAAUUACUUGUUUUUCUGAGCAGGCAAGCCUUAGCUCCACUUCGUUUCAGUCCAAACACCUGUCGUGGUAGUGAUGCGCACACCUAGAAACGAUUGUCCUUAAUACUCAAAUUUGUCUUGAUGUUGGGAUAUAAAUAUUGUUAUAGAUAGGAAGCACAUUGAAGCAGAAAAAUGUUUAUUGUUUGUCUGUCUUAUGUUCUUAAACUGUUACUAAUCUCACGACUCUUGGAGCUUUUCUCUUCUGAAGUGGUUCACCCGAACCCUUCAACGAACAGCCGUGUGGCACUGACGCAAGGUUUUGAGUGACCUGAAAAAAAAAACACUCUACUCUGGCGGCUACGAGUGGCCCAUGAAACAAAGCACUCUGUCUGAAAGCACCACUGGUGAACUUCCAGUUCUGGUUAAAUUCACCACAUGAAGCUAAGUAUAAUUUGUCUUUCCCUCUCUAUGUACAAACAUGAGUCAUACUUUGUAUAUGUUGUUUUGUAUAUAUGAUGUAGAUGGUGUACAUUAUUUUAUAACGGCAAUAGUUAUAUAAUUGAUCUUGUUUUAUAUGUUGUAAUGUUGUACAUAAGUCAUGUGUAUGUCAACGAUAUUAAAAUUUACCAUGAACAUACCCACAAGGGCUGAAAGCUGUAUGCAUGGAUGAAGUCAGGGUAAGACUGAUGUAAAUAAGGACAAAAAAAGCUUUAAUAACGUGCUCAGAUAAGAAAAUGACUCCCCCCUGUCUUGUGUGGCAAUUUUGUGUGGCGAAAAGGAAUAUGAAGCGGACCACAAAGCCAGCGCAAAGGCACAGGGCUGCAGUGACACCAUGGACUGGGAAUGUGGCCUGGACGAUGAAGCCAUUAUGGAGAUAGACAGCUUCAGUGAGGAAAUGGACUGGGAAUGUUGCCUGGAUGGCGAGGACUUCAUGGAGACAGAAGGUUUCGGUGAUGAAAUGGAUUGGAUAUGAACUGGUCUGAAUUGCCCCUCCCUCCACUCCAUAUAUUGAUAAUCAGGAAAUGACUUCACUACUCUUCAGUCCACUGAGAAACUCUGCCAGGAAGGAAACAGAGAUAAGGUGGAGAAAAUGAAUGUGUCAGCCUCUAUCAGAGCUUUUCCUCAAGACUGACCUUUGUAAAGGAGAGAGAUCAUAGUAUUGCAGCCCUGGAUAUUUUUUUCUUACUUGGCUUGCGGUCAGGUAGGUCUGUCCCAGAAUGGAAGUUCUGGACCUUUGACUGGCUGUCAGCCUGGGGGCAGAAGAUACACCCCAUUGGUCUGGCUUGCCCUGAUUUUUCAGAAUGUGGAAUCACAUUUAUAGUGGACUGGAGGACAAAAUUCACCAUUUGCCUUUUACUAGGGCCAACAAGGGAUGCGUUUUUGGAUGACCGCCCGAGCCCACCAGGCCAGCAAACUGCAUCUAGACUUAAACUAAUGCAAUGAACUGAUGAAUAUUUCAAGCCAAUCCACUGUUUUCCAGGAGUCACUCGACCACAUUUUCACAGGGGUCAGGGAAUAAUUUUCCAGUUUUAUCCCCAACUAGCCAUGUGUUUUCUGGUUUUUUGAUUCC